rnacentral:snRNA from 1 species
AGCUUUGCGCAGUGUCAGUAUCACAGCCAAUGAGGUUUAUCCGAGGCGCGAUUAUUGCUAAUUGAAAAUCCACAUAUAACU